GUGCCCAUAGUUCAAUUGGCGGAACGUCUGACUGUGGAUCAGAAGGAUGUGGGUUCAAGACCCACUGGGCACCCA
rnacentral:tRNA from 1 species